rnacentral:rRNA from 1 species
ACUCAAAUGAAUUGACGGGGUCUCGCACAAGCGGUGGAGUGUGUUGUUUAAUUCGAUAGUAAGCGAAGAACCUUACCAAGGCUUGACAUCCUGCUAAGUUCGCCGAAAGGCGAAUGUGCCUUCGGGCCGCAGUGACAGGUGUUGCAUGGCCGUCUUCAGCUCGUGUCGUGAGAUGUUUGGUUAAGUCCAUCAACGAGCGCAACCCUUGUAGUCAGUUGAAUUUUUCUGGCUAGACUGCCCCGGUAACGGGGAGGAAGGAGGGGAUGAUGUCAGGUCAUUAUUACCUUUAUGCCUUGGGCUACAAACACACUACAAUGGCCGGUACAAAGGGCAGCUAAGUCGUGAGACGGAGCAAAUCCCAUCAAAGCCGGUCCCAGUUCGGAUUGCAGGCUGAAACUCGCCUGCAUGAAGCCGGAAUCGCUAGUAACGGUAGGUCAGCUAUACUACCGUGAAUACGUUCCCGAGACUUGCACACACCGCCCGU